rnacentral:rRNA from 1 species
AUUGAACGCUGGCGGCAUGCUUUACACAUGCAAGUCGGACGGCAGCACAGAGAAGCUUGCUUCUUGGGUGGCGAGUGGCGAACGGGUGAGUAACAUAUCGGAACGUACCGAGCAGUGGGGGAUAACUAAUCGAAAGAUUAGCUAAUACCGCAUAUAUUCUGAGGAAGAAAGCAGGGGACCAUUUGGCCUUGCGCUGUUUGAGCGGCCGAUAUCUGAUUAGCUAGUUGGUGGGGUAAAGGCCUACCAAGGCGACGAUCAGUAGCGGGUCUGAGAGGAUGAUCCACCACACUGGGACUGAGACACGGCCCAGACUCCUACGGGAGGCAGCAGUGGGGAAUUUUGGACAAUGGGCGCAAGCCUGAUCCAGCCACGCCGCGUGUCUGAAGAAGGCCUUCGGGUUGUAAAGGACUUUUGUCAGGGAAGAAAAGGGCGGGGUUAAUACCCCUGUCUGAUGACGUACCUGAAGAUAAGCACCGCAU